AACGAACGCUGGCGGCAUGCUUAACACAUGCAAGCCGAACGGGCUUAUGGGGCUUGCUCCAUAAGUUAGUGGCAGACGGGUGAGUAACGCGUGGGAGUGUACCUUUUGGCUCGGAAUAACCUCGGGAAACUGAGGCUAAUACCGGAUAAGCCCGAGAGGGGAAAGAUUUAUCGCCGAAAGAGCAACCCGCGUUAGGUUAGGCAGUUGGUGGGGUAAUGGCCUACCAAGCCUACGAUCUAUAGCUGGUCUGAGAGGAUGAUCAGCCACACUGGGACUGAGACACGGCCCAGACUCCUACGGAAGGCAGCAGUGGGGAAUAUUGGACAAUGGGGGAAAACCUGAACCAGCAAUGACGCGUGAGUGAUGAAGGCCUUCGGGUUGUAAAGCUCUUUUGUCAGGGACGAUGAUGACGGUACCUGACGAAUAAGCUCCGACUAACUUCGUGCCAGCAGCCGCGGUAA
rnacentral:rRNA from 1 species